AGAAAUUGUAGUCGAUUUUCCAUCUCCUUCUUCCUCAAGUAACUUCUCCAAGAUGGGUGACUCGUCGAUAGCCAACAUUUGUUGACAAUGGUGGUUGAAAGGAAAUUGCUUGCAGCAACCAUCAGAGGACUCCUAUCCCCCUUCCAUGAACUGCCCUGCCCUACACUUCAAGGGCGAAACUGUGGUCGAUUUUCCAUCUCCUUCCUCAAGUAACGUCUCCAGGAUGGGUAACUUGUCGACAAUCAACAUUUGUUGCCUGUGGUGGUUAAAGGACAUUGCUUGUGGCAACUGCUGGAGGACUCUUGUUCUUGUCUCAUGAGUUGCCUUGCCCUACACUUCAAGGAUGAAGCAGUGAAUUGAGCAAAUGAAAAGCAAGUCAGAUGAGCUCCAGGGAGAGCUAAGGGUAAUGGAUGUUGAGACCUUGGAGAAGGAACACAAAGCUCUUUUAGCUGAUAUUGUUGGGGAAACCGAGUUCUGCAGUCUGUGCAGAAUCAGAUCGAGAAACUGAGGGGAAUAUCACAGCUCGUGAAGUGCGCCUGUGGACAGUACAAGAUUGAGUUAGAUGCUUGUGUGUGAACAGGAAAAGACAGCAGCCAGAACGUUGGAUAUUCAGAAGUUUUAACUACUAACUAGCGUAGUAAUAUGAUAUUGGACUGGAAGGACAAAUCGCUCUAAAGGAAGUUUCAUCAACAAAAGGAAGAUUGAGAAAAAAGGAAGCAAAAAAGUCAUGAGAAAUGGUGAUCGAGUCGAAUUGUAGAGGCCACUGCCCAACCAAACAACCAGCUGCUUCAUUGUAACAUCCAUACUUGGUGACCAUAUUGAGCGGAACACCUUCCAAACAUAACGAGGUCAGGAAGUCCUCAAGAAAGAGUUGCAUAAACUAUUUCUCCUCCUUUCCCUAUACUUUCCACAUGAUUAACAUUAUGAACCAUAGGAGAUUAAAAUAAAUGAAAAAUGUCAAGCCAUUUGGUUAUUUUAGCUACU